GAUGAACGCUGGCGGCGUGCCUAAUACAUGCAAGUCGAGCGGUAAGGCUUUCACAGAUUAUUUAACCAGAUAAGUUCUUCGGAAAACUGUUUGCAGCGAUGAUUCCCGGCUAGGGAAUCAGAGUUGAAUAAUGCGUGAAAGUACACGAGCGGCGGACGGCUGAGUAACACGUAGGAACGUACCCCAAAGUGAGGGAUAAGCACCGGAAACGGUGUCUAAUACCGCAUGUGAUCUUCGGAUUAAAGCUUCGGCGCUUUGGGAACGGCCUGCGCAUGAUUAGCUUGUUGGUG
rnacentral:rRNA from 1 species